rnacentral:tRNA from 1 species
GCGAAGGUGGCGAAAUAGGUAGACGCACCAGGUUUAGAUCCUGGCACUUAAAAAGUAUAGGGGUUCAAAUCCCCUCCUUCGCACCA